GGCUCCUUGGAAUGUUUUUUAUGGGGAGUCGGACCUGCCCGGUGACUAUAAUGUUAAACGGCCGCGGUACCCUAACCGUGCAAAGGUAGCAUAAUCAUUUGCCUUUUAAUUGGAGGCUUGUAUGAAUGGUUUGACGAGAGCCAAGCUGUCUCUUUUGAAAUAUUUAAAAAUUAAUUUUUAGGUGAAGAAGCCUAAAUAAAAUUGAGGGACAAGAAGACCCUGUUGAGCUUUAGUGCUGUACUAAAUUAGGUUGUUGGUUUAUUUUAUUAAAUAAGCUUACUAAAUGUAUUUAAGUAUAAUAGUUUUUUAGUGCAAGAUCUUUAGUUGGGGCGACUGAGGAACAUGUAAAGCUUCCUUUAAGUAAAGCAAUAAAUUAUUAGAGUUGGUUUUAAUUGUUGGCGAGCUAAUAUUAGAUCCAGUACUUAUUGAUUAAAGGAAAAAGUUACCACAGGGAUAACAGCGUAAUCUUUCUGGAGAGAUCUUAUCGAAAGGAGGGUUUGCGACCUCGAUGUUGGACUAAGAUAUCCUAAGGGUGUAGAAGCUC
rnacentral:rRNA from 1 species